rnacentral:rRNA from 1 species
UACGUAGGGUGCGAGCGUUAAUCGGAAUUACUGGGCGUAAAGUGUGCGCAGGCGGCCGAGCAAGUCGAGUGUGAAAGCCCCGAGCUUAACUUGGGAACUGCGCUCGAAACUACUUGGCUAGAGUGUGGCAGAGGGAGGUGGAAUUCCACGUGUAGCGGUGAAAUGCGUAGAGAUGCGGAGGAACACCGAUGGCGAAGGCAGCCCCCUGGGCUAGCACUGACGCUCAGGCACGAAAGCGUGGGGAGCAAACAGG